UCUUAUGUACAUGCCUACAAUGUUAAUGCACCGGAUCCCAUUAGAACUUUGUAGUUAAGCACACUUGGGCUAGAGUAGUAUUGGGAUGGGUGACCUUCCGGGAAGUCCUAGUGUUUUACAUGCC
rnacentral:rRNA from 1 species